rnacentral:misc_RNA from 1 species
GUGAGGGGUUCUCGUCUGUAGUGGACGAGGGCCGGGUGCACAACAACAGGCAAUCGCCAGACACACUAUUGGGCCCUGAGACAACACUCGGCCGACUUCGGUUGAAGUGGUGUCCCUCCAUCUUGGUGGUGGGGUGUGGUGUUUGAGUAUUGGAUAGUGGUUGCGAGCAUCUAAAUGAACGCGUCGCCGGCAACGGUUACGUGUUCGUUUUGUGUAAUUUUUUCUUUUGGUUUUUGUG